rnacentral:rRNA from 1 species
AGUAAUGUAUGGGGAUCUGCCUGAUGGCGGGGGAUAACUACUGGAAACGGUAGCUAAUACCGCAUAAUGUCUGCGGACCAAAGCGGGGGACCUCCGGGCCUCGCGCCAUCAGAUGAACCCAUAUGGGAUUAGCUAGUAGGUAAGGUAACGGCUUACCUAGGCGACGAUCCCUAGCUGGUCUGAGAGGAUGAUCAGCCACACUGGGACUGAGACACGGCCAG